rnacentral:rRNA from 1 species
UGGGGAAUAUUGGACAAUGGGCGCAAGCCUGAUCCAGCAAUGCCGCGUGUGUGAAGAAGGCCUGCGGGUUGUAAAGCACUUUCAGUGGGGAGGAAGGCCUCAGUGGUAAUAUCGCUGAGGAUUGACGUUACCCACAGAAGAAGCACCGGCUAACUCUGUGCCAGCAGCCGCGGUAAUACAGAGGGUGCAAGCGUUAAUCGGAAUUACUGGGCGUAAAGGGUGCGUAGGUGGUUAAUUAAGUCAGAUGUGAAAUCCCAAGGCUUAACCUUGGAAUUGCAUUUGAUACUGGUUAGCUAGAGUACAGAAGAGGGAAGUGGAAUUUCCGGUGUAGCGGUGAAAUGCGUAGAUAUCGGAAGGAACAUCAGUGGCGAAGGCGACUUCCUGGUCUGUUACUGACACUGAGGCACGAAAGCGUGGGGAGCGAACAGGAUUAGAUACCCCCGUAGUCC